UGGAGGCUUAUGGCGUAAUUAUAUCGAACCGUGUCAGAUUCGGAAGGAAGCAGCACUAAGGUAUUAAUUGCGGGUGUAGGUGCAAAGUUUUUUCUG
rnacentral:SRP_RNA from 1 species